rnacentral:rRNA from 1 species
GAUGAACGCUAGCGGCAGGCUUAAUACAUGCAAGUCGAGGGACAGCACAGGUAGCAAUACUGGGUGGUAACCGGCAAACGGGUGCGGAACACGAACACAACCUUCCUUUAAGUGUGGGAUAGCCCAGAGAGAUUUGGAUUAAUACCCCGUAAUAUAGUUGAAUGGCAUCAUUUGAUUAUUAUAGCUACGGCGCUUAAUGAUGGGUGUGCGGCUGAUUAGAUAGUUGGCGGGGUAGCGGCCCACCAAGUCUACGAUCAGUAGCUGAUGUGAGAGCAUGAUCAGCCACACGGGCACUGAGACACGGGCCCGACUCCUACGGGAGGCAGCAGUAAGGAAUAUUGGUCAAUGGACGCAAGUCUGAACCAGCCGUGCCGCGUGAAGGAUUAAGGUCCUCUGGAUUGUAAACUUCUUUUAUUUGGGACGAAAAAGGGCCUUUCUAGGUCAACUGACGGUACCAGAUGAAUAAGCACCGGCUAACUCCGUGCCAGCCGCCGCGGUAAGAC